GAGCACCUCUGCCCUCAAGGUCUGGAAAUACACCCACGCUGGAGCCCUGGCCCAAAGCAUUCCCAGAGGACACUGCAUCACUCAGCAUGGGGAUGCAGACAACAGAGCCGCUCUUCAUCUGCGACGACCCCGAGGGGCUGCUCAGCGAGCAUCUGCCAAGCCAGGCCCCAGACUCGCCCCCACUCAGCUCCUACCAC